AUUGCGAAGGGCAGGUCNCUAAGAAUUUAAACUGACGCUGAUGGACGAAAGCGUGGGGGAGCGAACAGGGAUUAGAUACCCUGGUAGUGCACGCCGUAAACGAUGCUAACUCGUUUUUUUGUGAUUCGUCAUGAGAGACUAAGCGAAAGUGAUAAGUUAGCCACCUGGGGAGUACGUUCGCAAGAAUGAAACUCAAAGGAAUUGACGGGGGCCCGCACAAGCGGUGGAUUAUGUGGUUUAAUUCGAUGAUACGCGAGGAACCUUACCAAGACUUAAAUGGGAGUGGACAGGCUUAGAAAUAGGCCCUCCUUCGGGCCGCUUCCAAGGUGCUGCAUGGUUGUCGUCAGCUCGUGCCGUGAGGUGUUAGGUUAAGUCCUGCAACGAGCGCAACCCCUGUCACUAGUUGCUAGCAUUAAGUUGAGGACUCUAGUGAGACUGCCUACGCAAGUAGAGAGGAAGGUGGGGAUGACGUCAAAUCAUCACGGCCCUUACGUCUUGGGCCACACACGUAAUACAAUGGCCGGUACAGAGGGCAGCUACACAGCGAUGUGAUGCAAAUCUCGAAAGCCGGUCUCAGUUCGGAUUGGAGUCUGCAACUCGACUCUAUGAAGCUGGAAUCGCUAGUAAUCGCGCAUCAGCCAUGGCGCGGUGAAUACGUUCCCGGGCCUUGUACACACCGCCCGUCAAGCCAUGGAAGUCUGGGGUACCUGAAGUCGGUGACCGUAAAAGGAGCUGCCUAGGGUAAAACAGGUAACUAGGGCUAAGUCGUAACAAGGU
rnacentral:rRNA from 1 species